GAGCAAUCCAAGUUGUGGGGUGUACAUGUCCGUAUGUUUCUAGCUUCAGUUGGCACAACAUAGUUUCUAUACGAGUUCAUCAAGAUUGUUUGGAUGAGUCCAAGCUUAGUUGCCUCAUCAAAACAGCAAUAUGAAAAGGAGUGUAACCACAAUUAGGCAACAAGAAACCAUGCAUGAUCUGGUCGAAGGAUUUCAGCAUGGAUUUCUUUUGCCUAAGCUAAUAUUGCAAGGCGAGUUAUCAGGUCUUUUAAGGAAGUGGGUUGACAACACUUUCAAAGAGAACUGAUAUGUUGCUGUUUGGGGAAAAUAGUUGAGUUUGGAGAUUCAUCCAACAACUCCGAUGGAUUUGUUAGGGACUGUGGAGUUAACUGAAGUGAGGGAUAUUGAUACAUGAUCCCGCAGCCUCUUGGCCUCCUGAUCUUUUGCUACUUCAUCAUUUGAGAAGCGUUAGCCAUGGAAUCCUAUAAAACAGGCUUCUCAGUGAGUGGAUGAUUGGGUCAUGCUAUUGCAUGAUUCUCAAAAUUUGAUUGAAAUUUCUACCAUGAUUCAACAUGUAUAUCCAGCCAAUUUCGAAGGGUGAAAGCUUAUAUACGCC